CCUACGGGUGGCUGCAGUCGAGAAUCAUUCACAAUGGGGGAAACCCUGAUGGUGCGACGCCGCGUGGGGGAAUGAAGGUCUUCGGAUUGUAAACCCCUGUCAUGUGGGAGCAAAUUAAAAAGAUAGUACCACAAGAGGAAGAGACGGCUAACUCUGUGCCAGCAGCCGCGGUAAUACAGAGGUCUCAAGCGUUGUUCGGAAUCACUGGGCGUAAAGCGUGCGUAGGCUGUUUCGUAAGUCGUGUGUGAAAGGCGCGGGCUCAACCCGCGGACGGCACAUGAUACUGCGAGACGAGAGUAAGGGAGGGGGAACCGGAAUUCUCGGUGUAGCAGUGAAAUGCGUAGAUAUCGAGAGGAACACUCGUGGCGAAGGCGGGUUCCUGGACAUUAACUGACGCUGAGGCACGAAGGCCAGGGGAGCGAAAGGGAUUAGAUACCCGAGUAGUC
rnacentral:rRNA from 1 species